rnacentral:rRNA from 1 species
AUAUUCCUGUACUUGGUGUUACUGCGAAGGGGGGACGGAGAAGGCUAGGCUAGCCGGGCGACGGUUGUCCCGGUUUAAGCGUGUAGGGGGUGUGACCUGGUAAAUCCGGUUGCAUAUCAACCCUGAGGCGUGAUGACGAUGCACUACGGUGCAGAAGUAGUUGAUGCCCUGCUUCCAGGAAAAGCCUCUAAGCUCUAGGUAACAUUGAAUCGUACCCCAAACCGACACAGGUGGUCAGGUAGAGAAUACCAAGGCGCUUGAGAGAACUCGGGUGAAGGAACUAGGCAAAAUGGUGCCGUAACUUCGGGAGAAGGCACG